rnacentral:rRNA from 1 species
UACGUAGGGCGCGAGCGUUGUCCGGAUUUAUUGGGCGUAAAGAGCUCGUAGGCGGCUCAUUGCGUCAACCGUGAAAACCUGCAGCUUAACUGUGGGCUUGCGGUUGAUACGGGUGGGCUGGAGUUCGGUAGGGGAGACUGGAAUUCCUGGUGUAGCGGUGAAAUGCGCAGAUAUCAGGAGGAACACCGGUGGCGAAGGCGGCAUCCUGGACCGAUACUGACGCUGAGGAGCGAAAGCCAGGGGAGCAAACGGG